rnacentral:rRNA from 1 species
UACGGGGGGGGUAAGCGUUGUUCGGAAUUACUGGGCGUAAAGGGCUCGUAGGCGGCCAACUAAGUCAGACGUGAAAUCCCUCAGCUUAACUGGGGAACUGCGUCUGAUACUGGAUGGCUUGGAUUCGGGAGAGGAAUGCGGAAUUCCAGGUGUAGCGGUGAAAUGCGUAGAUAUCUGGAGGAGCACCGGUGGCGAAGGCGGCAUCCUGGACCGGCAUUGACGCUGAGGCGCGAAAGCCAGGGGAGCAAACGGG